UGAGGCCCCUCAAUCUGCAUCCCGUGCAAUAUAAGACGGUUAUUGACAAAUUUGCUGCUGUUGCCAUUCUCCAGGGUUUCCUGGACUUCGCAAACAGGAAUCUCAAGCUAAGGGAACAGGAAAAAUCAUGAUGUACUGGUUUUUGUACGACAGCUUGGCCUAGCAUUGGAUGGUGGUUGUCCUAAAGCAUCAAUUUCUCACUGUUUAUAUUAUUACCAGGCAAUACACGCCCCAGUUUCUGUUGCUGCUUUA